rnacentral:rRNA from 1 species
GAUGAACGCUGGCGGCGUGCCUAACACAUGCAAGUCGAGCGGCAGCGAGGGGUGCUUGCACCCUGCCGGCGAGCGGCGGACGGCUGAGUAACGCGUGGGAACGUGCCCCAAAGUGAGGAAUAACUGCCCGAAAGGGUAGCUAAUACCGCAUAUUAUCUUCGGAUCAAAGGAUUUAUCCGCUUUGGGAGCGGCUCGCGUCGGAUUAGGUAGUUGGUGAGGUAAUGGCUCACCAAGCCGACGAUCCGUAGCUGGUCUGAGAGGAUUACCAGCCAGACUGGAACUGAGACACGGUCCAGACUCCUACGGGAGGCAGCAGUGAGGAAUCUUCCACAAUGGGCGAAAGCCUGAUGGAGCAACGCCGCGUGCAGGACGAAGGCCUUCGGGUUGUAAACUGCUUUUAUAAGUGAGGAAUAUGACGGUAACUUAUGAAUAAGGAUCGGCUAACUACGUG